ACAGGCCUNGAGCCGGNGAUGGCUCAUUCAAAUUUCUUCCCUAUCAACUUUCGAUGUUUGGGUCUUGUCCAAACAUGGUGGCAACGGGUAACGGAGGGUUAGGGCUCGACCCCGGAGAAGGAGCCUGAGAAACGGCUACUACAUCCAAGGAAGGCAGCAGGCGCGCAAAUUACCCAAUCCCGACACGGGGAGGUAGUGACAAUAAAUACUGAUACAGGGCUCUUUUGGGUCUUGUAAUCGGAAUGAGUACAAUUUAAAUCCCUUAACGAGGAACAAUUGGAGGGCAAGUCUGGUGCCAGCAGCCGCGGUAAUUCCAGCUCCAAUAGCGUAUAUUAAAGUUGUUGUGGUUAAAAAGCUCGUAGUUGAACCUUGGGCCUGGCUGGCCGGUCCGCCUCACCGCGUGCACUGGUCCGGCCGGGCCUUUCCCUCUGCGGAACCCCAUGCCCUUCACUGGGUGUGGCGGGGAAACAGGACUUUUACUUUGAAAAAAUUAGAGUGCUCAAGGCAGGCCUAUGCUCGAAUACAUUAGCAUGGAAUAAUAGAAUAGGACGUGUGGUUCUAUUUUGUUGGUUUCUAGGACCGCCGUAAUGAUUAAUAGGGACAGUCGGGGGCAUCAGUAUUCAAUUGUCAGAGGUGAAAUUCUUGGAUUUAUUGAAGACUAACUACUGCGAAAGCAUUUGCCAAGGAUGUUUUCAUUAAUCAAGGAACGAAAGUUAGG
rnacentral:rRNA from 1 species